rnacentral:rRNA from 1 species
CACGUAGGGCGCAAGCGUUGUCCGGAAUUAUUGGGCGUAAAGAGCUCGUAGGCGGUUCGAUAAGUCGGGUGUGAAACCUCCAGGCUCAACCUGGAGACGCCACCCGAUACUGUCGUGACUAGAGUCCAGUAGGGGAGCGUGGAAUUCCUGGUGUAGCGGUGAAAUGCGCAGAUAUCAGGAGGAACACCGGUGGCGAAGGCGGGUCUCUGGGCCGUAACUGACGCUGAGGAGCGAAAGCGUGGGGAGCGAACAGG